rnacentral:rRNA from 1 species
UACGAAGGGGGCUAGCGUUAUCCGGAUUUACUGGGUUUAAAGGGUGCGUAGGUGGGUCUGUAAGUCAGUGGUGAAAUCUCCGGGCUUAACCCGGAAACUGCCAUUGAUACUAUAGGUCUUGAAUUAUCUGGAGGUAAGCGGAAUAUGUCAUGUAGCGGUGAAAUGCUUAGAUAUGACAUAGAACACCCAUUGCGAAGGCAGCUUACUACGCAUAUAUUGACGCUGAGGCACGAAAGCGUGGGGAUCAAACAGG